UAGUGAUUAGGUUUGUCGAGGCAUUCCAGG
rnacentral:piRNA from 1 species